rnacentral:rRNA from 1 species
UACGAAGGGGGCUAGCGUUGCUCGGAAUCACUGGGCGUAAAGCGCACGUAGGCGGGUCUUUAAGUCGGAGGUGAAAUCCUGGAGCUCAACUCCAGAACUGCCUUCGAUACUGAGGAUCUCGAGUCCGGGAGAGGUGAGUGGAACUGCGAGUGUAGAGGUGAAAUUCGUAGAUAUUCGCAAGAACACCAGUGGCGAAGGCGGCUCACUGGCCCGUUACCGACGCUCAGGCGCGACAGCGUGGGGAGCAAACAGG